rnacentral:lncRNA from 1 species
CUCUGUCCAACAGUUGUUCUUGAACUUUUGCAAUUCUAACAGUUGUUUCCAUGGUGUGAGGUAAUUGAGACUGAACCACAGCAGCUAACUCAGGCUUUAGACCUCUUGUGAACUGAGUAAUGAAAAACAUCUUAUCAUAGCCUGUAUUAUGCAUCUCAAUGAGGAAUUGUAGUGAUUCAUACUCAAAGACAUAUUCAUC